rnacentral:snRNA from 1 species
UAGCUUGGGUUUCUCUUCAUGCACGUACAAAUCUUAGGCCUUUUACUAAAGAUUUCCACGGAGGGGAACAUUGUCGAGUUCUAAUUUUUGAAGGUUGACGGUUCUGCCC